GAGGUGGUGCGAACCAAGGUGGCGUGGGCCGUUCCAGAUCCUGCUCCAACUGCAGUCCGGGUGGCUGAACGAACAUCUUGGAUUCACGCCAGUCAAUGCAAAUUGUAUUUUUCUGUGAACAUGUUAUCAUUUAUAUGAUAAAAGGAGGGAUUGUGGGAGAAAAAUAUCAUGUAACCUAGGAUAUAUGUAUCCAGAUAUGUACAAUGCAUAUAGUUAGAAAACUGCUUGAAAGAACAAGAUGUGCUUGUGACAGAUAACCAGCAAAAAUGUAAGGGAGGGGUGAGUGCUCUGCCACAGCUUACAUCAUAUAGGCAUACGUGCAGGAGAUAAAGCAGAACAUUCCCAUUUUAUCAUAACAAGCUCAUGUGCUUGUUAUGAUAAAAAUAAUGAGUAAAUAAUAAUAAAAAAGGUUGGUUCCUCCUUAACCAGCCUAAGGAGGAAAGAUGGAUGAUAAAUCUCUCCUUGCUGUGAAAGAACUGGGUUCUUUUAAACGGGAAAGGUUGCUUGCAAGACGUCUCUCCAGGGAAUUUCCCCCACAGUCCGCACCUGGUUUGAUGGGCUUGUCUCCGUUCAGCACAUCGCUCAGGGUGAAGUCGGACGUCAGGUACUUGGGUCGUUGCCAGAACCAGAAGCGCUUGCGCCUGAUGACCAGCGACAGGGGGACCAGCUUGUCUGAGUCGUUCAGGCGGGACACUGGGAUCAGGCACCCUUCCGGGUCUAUCUCCUUGACAAGGUUACUGGUGGCCGUGGCAAACAUCUAUAGGAACAUCAGAACAUUUCAAGCAACAUAAAGGAAGCUUGUUAUGCUGUGUGCAAUGGAGUCAUGCCAACCAGACAGAGUGAGGGAGAGAUUCUGUGACAGUGCAGUUUCUCAGUACUCCAUUUAAUGAAUCAAUCUCUUUAAUUACUUGCCUCUGAAGUGUUGCUUACAGACCUAAUUAAUAAAAAAUGAAAACACAAUGA